UGGGCCCUACGGGGCGCAGCAGUGGGGAAUAUUGCACAAUGGGGGAAACCCUGAUGCAGCGACGCCGCGUGAGCGAUGAAGUAUUUCGGUAUGUAAAGCUCUAUCAGCAGGGAAGAAAAUGACGGUACCUGACUAAGAAGCCCCGGCUAACUACGUGCCAGCAGCCGCGGUAAUACGUAGGGGGCAAGCGUUAUCCGGAUUUACUGGGCGUAAAGGGAGCGCAGACGGCAGUGCAAGUCUGGAGUGAAAGCCCGGGGCCCAACCCCGGAACUGCUCUGGAAACUGUGCGGCUAGAGUACUGGAGG
rnacentral:rRNA from 1 species